GCUACAUUGGGAAAGUGGUUAAGACAUUGGAUUAAUGACCGGAAGGUUGUGAGUUCAAAUCUCACCACUGCCA